AGCUUCGCCUAAUACCAGAGGCCCAUGACCGUACCGAAAGAAUAAGCACCGGCUAACUACGUGCCAGCAGCCGCGGUAAUACGUAGGGUGCGAGCGUUAAUCGGAAUUACUGGGCGUAAAGCGUGCGCAGGCGGUUAUGUAAGACAGAUGUGAAAUCCCCGGGCUCAACCUGGGAACUGCAUUUGUGACUGCAUGGCUAGAGUACGGUAGAGGGGGAUGGAAUUCCGCGUGUAGCAGUGAAAUGCGUAGAUAUGCGGAGGAACACCGAUGGCGAAGGCAAUCCCCUGGACCUGUACUGACGCUCAUGCACGAAAGCGUGGGGAGCAAACAGGAUUAGAUACCCUGGUAGUCCACGCCCUAAACGAUGUCAACUGGUUGUUGGGAAUUAGUUGUCUCAGUAACAAAGCUAACGCGUGAAGUUGACCGCCUGGGGAGUACGGCCGCAAGGUUGAAACUCAAAGGAGUUGACGGA
rnacentral:rRNA from 1 species